rnacentral:rRNA from 1 species
AUACGGAGGGUGCAAGCGUUAUCCGGAUUCAUUGGGUUUAAAGGGUGCGCAGGCGGAAUGAUAAGUCAGUGGUGAAAUCCUACAGCUUAACUGUAGAACUGCCAUUGAUACUGUCAUUCUUGAGUACACUUGAAGUGGGCGGAAUGUAUCAUGUAGCGGUGAAAUGCAUAGAUAUGAUACAGAACUCCGAUAGCGAAGGCAGCUCACUAAAUUGUAACUGACGCUCAGGCACGGAAGCGUGGGGAGCAAACAGGAUUAGAUACCCGAGUAGUCC